rnacentral:rRNA from 1 species
CCCUUAGAUGUUCUGGGCUGCACGCGCGCUACACUGAAGCUAUCAACACGUUUUCCCUCCCUGAGAAGGGCGGGUAACCUUUUGAAUCAGCUUCGUGGUAGGGAUCGGGGCUUGCAAUUGUUCCCCGUGAACCAGGAAUUCCUAGUAGACGCGAGUCAUAAGCUCGCAUCGAUUAAGUCCCUGCCCUUUGUACACACCGCCCGUCGCUACUACCGAUUGAACGUUUUAAUGAGGCAUUUGGACCGACGCAUCUCAGUUUAACCGCUGGUUUGUGUUGGAAAGACUUCCAAACUUGAGCGUUUAGAGGAAGUAAAAGUCGUAACA